GAUGAACGCUGGCGGCGUGCCUAAUACAUGCAAGUCGAGCGAACAGACGAGGAGCUUGCUCCUCUGACGUUAGCGGCGGACGGGUGAGUAACACGUGGAUAACCUACCUAUAAGACUUGGAUAACUUCGGGAAACCGGAGCUAAUACCGGAUAAUAUAUUGAACCGCAUGGUUCAAUAGUGAAAGACGGUUUUGCUGUCUCUUAUAGAUGGAUCCGCGCCGCAUUAGCUAGUUGGUAAGGUAACGGCUUACCAAGGCGACGAUGCGUAGCCGACCUGAGAGGGUGAUCAGCCACACUGGAACUGAGACACGGUCCAGACUCCUACGGGAGGCAGCAGUAGGGAAUCUUCCGCAAUGGGCGAAAGCCUGACGGAGCAACGCCGCGUGAGUGAUGAAGGUCUUCGGAUCGUAAAGCUCUGUUAUUAGGGAAGAACAAAUGUGUAAGUAACUAUGCACGUCUUGACGGUACCUAAUCAGAAAGCCACGGCUAACUACGUG
rnacentral:rRNA from 1 species